AUACUGUGUUUCUCUGAGCUGUCUAUGCCUCCCUCUGUUUGUAUUCGCUGGUAGUCAGCAUGCACCUGUGUGUCUCAGCACUCACUGGUCUCUCUCAUUCCAAAUGGUUGUUUAUCAAUGCUGUCAUGUUAGCAGCUCGUGCAGCAAUCAGCAGGAGAGAAGCAGAACUGGACCUGGUAGACUCAAAAUAACAAAAACUCAGAGCAAAGGAAUUGUGUUUGGAGAGUUUCUGCCUCCAUCUUGAGACGAAAGAAAUCCGAGGAACAAACUUGCCUAGCUGGAAUGAAGGAGUGACAACAAGCAGACUUGUGUUGAAAAGGGUUUCUUGAUUUACCCUGAAGCAUUGGCCUACACUACUCCUCAAGCCUGACUCCACCUGAUUCCAGAGGAUGUCUGACCAUCAGUUCCAGCAUGUGCCCUACUGAAUAAUACCUGUGAGGGGGUGAGAACCACAGAGAGGAUGAUGCCAUCGUCCUCCUCCAUGGCAUCCGGUGACGGCACAAACACGGGCUCUGACGGGAAGAAACCCUUCUGGUACCAGACCUGAGGCACACGCACAUACACGCACACAAGAAACUCAACAAACGUAACCUAUUGGCCUCAGGUGAAGAUACCAACGAU